GAUUUAGAACCAGUGUGUCUCUCCUGCAGCCUCCAUUCUGGGUGCCUCCACCCCCUUGCCGUCGUCAUGUUGCAUCCUGUUUCUGUCUGAAAACCCUUGUCUUUCUGAAUCCAUCUUUCAGUCUCUCACAUUCUGUCUUUCCCCUCCUCCUUCACCUUCCCUCCGUCCCUCUCCCUUGCGCACUUGCCGGGUACCAGCUGAGUGCAUCCUUUUCCCAAACCUGCUCUGCUUCCAAGGGGCCCUUUUCUGUCUCCUCCACCUGUCCCCAUGUUUUGGGGACUGCCUGGAAAUCCGGGACACCCUCCUGAGGAGGGAGCUGGUGCCCAACGGCACCUCUUAGGAUGAACCCAGCCAGCUGCGUUCCUGGCCUCUGCAGAAUGGCAUACAGAAGGCAUUUUAAGCAAGCGAGCUGAGCUCGCCGCAGGACUCCGACUACCAGGCACCGGUGGCAGCACGCAAAGGGUGUCCCUGUCCCUCAAGGGGUCAUGGCCUCCAUGUUGCUCGCCCAGCGCCUGGCCUGCAGCUUCCAGCACAGCUACCGCCUGCUGGUGCCUGGAUCCAGACACAUUAGUCAAGCUGC
rnacentral:lncRNA from 1 species